UUCUAGGAUCAGUGGGGUCCCCACUCACCUGUCUUCAUAGUGGUCCUUCACCCUGCUGUCCUUCAGAGCCUUUCCAAAUCGUUAUCCCUUCUCUUAAACCUCCCACCAAUGCAUGCCUCCUUCACACCCAUAAAAUAAUCUCACUUCUUAUCUCACAGAGAACAGAGGUGAACUAUCAUCUGGAUUUAGGAGCUUAGACUGUGUCAGGCCUUAUGAUAAAGUUUUCUCUCUCCAGAAACCAGAAAGAGGAGGCUGACCCUGGGCUAUGUAUUAAUUUAGGCAGAGUGAAUAUUUUCAUUUACUCUAAAUUACAAUAAGCCAAAUCCCUUCCAUAUGCCGAAAGAUGCCACAGAGAGUAUUUUACAGCCUCAGGGAUGCUGAAUGGUGGAUCCCUCCCUGCACUGGGCAGGGUGACUGUGGGGCAGAGAUUCUGCAGUUCCAAGGGAAAGUCACAGUGAGACUGGGAAGCCACUAGUAAAACUGCAAGAACUGCCAAGAAUCCACUAGCCAGGCUUGAGAAGCCCAAGCCUCCUGAAGAGACCACAUGCCGACACGUUCCUCUGUCAACUCAGCUGAGCCCCAGGGGCACAGUCCGACUGCUCAGCCCAGAUCACCUGAUCUGUACCUCCACAGCCAUCUGACUGCAGCUGCAUGAGUGAUGUCCACAAGAGGGAACCCCUCAGCUGAGCUCUGUCAACCCACGGAAUUGGGAGACUUAAACACACUUAAAUUGUUUUAAGUCACUAACUUUUUGGAGCAGUUUGUUACACAGCAACAGAGUUCCUGCCAAUCUCCUCCACCAAUGCAUAACUUAACCUAAUCACAAGGCAACAUUGGACAAAAUCAAUUCUACAAAACAACUGGCCCAUACUCUUCAAAAAUAAAAAGAUCAGAAAAAAUGAAAAAGAGGCUGAGGAGCUGUUUCAGAUUAAAGAGCUCCAUCCAGUGCUCUGGGUAACAUGACGGCAUGGCUGCAAGGCUGCAGGAGAGCAGAGCAGAGGCUGGAGUGGUGGCAGCACCGAGGACAGAGGCCCAGAAGAUGGCUGUGUCGGAAGAGAGGCCCAGAGGCAGAGACCGACUUGCUGCAUGCAGACUCGCUCUGAGUGGAUGAGAUUUUAGGAACUGACCUGCCACCAUGGAAAUAAAGUUUCACCCCAAGAACAUUUUACUGUCAUUUCUUUGGUCAUACAGAAUCUAUAGUGAAUUUGCCCAG